GUCUCACUUAUCCAGAUAAAUAAAAUUGAAGAUACUUGGUCACGCCAUGGGCACAUAAUUCAUUGUUGCACAAUAGAAUAUGGCCAUUUAAUGUAAUUUGUGUAGUGUGUAUAUGAAUUGGCCACCUGGUAGAGAUCAGAUGAUAGAAGGGAUCAUGUAAAUGGUAAAGGAAUGUGAAGAUCCUUUGAUUAGUCAAAGGCUCUGCAGGGUGUGAGAUUCUACACUUGAGAUGCCUGGAUCUCUGAUUCCAAAGUAAACUAGCUGACUUCAGCCAUAUGGCCGGUACCUUUUAAUUGAUUUAUUUGAUAUGUUAAUGAUCAUUCGCUUUCAAGAGAAAAACAAGCCUUGUGUUACAGUAUCAUAUCCAAAAGAAACAUUAAUAUGGAAUGAUAAUUGAGCCUCCUUUUUGUUAUAUUUGGAAUGGGACGGGCACAAUCGUCUACUCAAGCUUAAACAUGAUUUGCAUAACUUAACCAUAGGGGAAGGGAUUGUGAUGUCUGCUAUAUUGGGUCACAAGUAAGGAGUGUGACCUAUCUACGGAGUGGAAAAAUGGUAACACAUUCAUAGGUG